UUACCUUGUGGUUGCAUUGCGUUAUUUUGAUGUCUCUGGGUUCCUGGAGGUGGUUUAGAGCCAUUUAGGCGAGUUUUUCUUUCUGGCGGUUUGCUUCCUCUUUAGGGGAGGUACAACUGGUUAUCUGGCAAUGACGUUUUUUGGUUCGUGCAGUCUUUUCACAUUUUGCUCUUUCUUGCCUGAGGCCCGGUAAGACUCCGGUAACCUCGUAAUAUUUUGUAACUAAAACAUUGUUCCGGUAUAAUUUUGUGUCCAACGGUCGGUUAAAGCGCGGUCAGGAUUUGCCGACCAGUUGUUGGAGGGUUUGGCCGCCAGAGAGCUCUCAGGACUCCACUGAUAAAUUCAAAGGUUCAGGUAAGAACUACUUUGGAGUUGAACUAGCUGAAUCAGCCUAUAUAUUUAAUAUUGGUAAUGUUAAGCAAUGUGUUCGGGAAAAGCCGGCGCAGUUUUUCAAACUGUAUUCGCCACUGUUUUGUAUUUCAAACCCAACGGAAAGUGAAGCUUCAGCGAAAAGCAAGACCAGGAAAAGCCUAAUAUGUCUCCGAACUUGGAAGGGUUUUCUAAGUUGUCAGUCCAUUUAUCCAGUGAUCUUACUUCCAAGUGUAAUUUCAAUUCCGUAAUUUUAACGACCAGUGAAAUCCGAGCCCGGUACUGCAGUCGAUGAUGACCGCUUUUUAACGCGUCGAACAUGAGCUAUUGAAACACAUUUGCCGCGUCUUGGAAAAAACGAGAUAUUGAAAUGAUUAUUUUUUCCCGAUGCAAGAAAGUAUUGUUUCCAUCGGUUUCUUUACUGAAGUCCGAUCGUGUUCUUUAUAUAACUGAAGGCUGAUUACUUAUUGCUGCCUUUUGGUAUCGCCGAAAAUUUGCCCUGAAAGAGCUGUUGACCAAUACACCUGAUUGAUCUAGUUCCAUGCCAAUUGUACUGUACUUUGGCAUUUAAAAGUAGGCAAUCAUAUCAUUCCAGAUUUCGUUCUUUCGGUGCCGGUAGCGCUAGGACAAUAAUGUGUAAUUUAAUUUCUUAUGCGUUCUCAUUUGUUAAAGCGCGUAUUUUGCGCACAGUUUCUGUCAGAGAACAAGUUAUUUUGAUGCCUGCGUUGCUACCGGAAAUGGAGACAUUUCGCCUUAUUGUCCCUCUUUUUAUGAUGGCACAGACAGUGAUUUUGUGGUGGAACAAUUAUCGCACUGUUCAGUUCACGUAGCUUAAUGUAAAAGCGCGAAACACGGCACACGAAAAAAUAGGGGAGGGGCAUGGCACCCGUUCACACCAUUCACUGUAUUCACGCUUCUGGGUUAUAGUUUGAUGACGAAAUGAGCAGUAAAAAAUUAUUCCACAAUUAUUGCUUUCUUAAACAGUUAAAUCCUUGCUUCUUUGACUUACCCUAGGAAAUGUAAUUUUCAGCAGUGUAACAUCAGUUAAAAUCUAAGACAUUUCAUUGAAUACUCUCCUGAAUGAGCUACUUUUGUGAACAUAGUUCUUGAUCUAGAUCUUACAUUGAGGGGCCCGAUAGUAUCACCAGUUUUGUAUAUUAUUAUGUGUCCGUGGCUGUAUGUGUAUUUGGAUGCAUGUGUGUGUGUUUGGACGCGGGGAGGACGCCGGUAUAAGAGGGAUUAUGCAGUAUGUUACAUUUUCUAAAACAUAUCAUUUUUCAGGUGUAAAAUUAAUUGCGUGAACUAUAAGAAGCAUAUCUAAAGAUGCUGCAAACAUUACCUGAUGUCAUGGACUGGUACCCAAGAAGAGAUGAGCGAAUAUGUUGAUGAAACCACGCGAUUAAGUUUGUGAAUCUUUUAUGCUGAUCGUCCAGUGUGUAUUUAUGACAUUACAUUGAUCUGAUUGAUACAUUUUGUUAACGAACCUCUUGACGUAAUGAUGCUGUUAAUAGCAAUACUUUUACGGUGAACCGCCUGUAACAUCCCAACAAUUCCGGGGUCUUUGCUGCGAAACUUUGCACUUAACUGUGUGAAGCUUUUACGGUGAACGGUCUGUAACAUCCCAUUAAUGCCGGGGUCUUUGCUGCGAAACUUUGCACUGAAAUGUGUGACACUUUAACGGUGAACGGCUUGUAACAUUUCAUUGCUGGGAAACUUUGCACUUAAGUGUGUGAAACUUUAACUGUGAGCGGCUUUUUACAUCCCAACAAUGCCGAGGUCUUUGCUGCGAAACUUUGUACCUAACUGUGUGAAACUUUAACGGUGAACGGCCUGUAACAUCCCUACAAUGCCGGGGUCUUUGCUGCGAAACUUUGCACUUACGUGUGUGAAACCUUUACGGUAAACGGCCUGUAACAUCCCAACAAUUCCGGGGUCUUUGCUGCGGAACUUUGCACUUAACUGUGUGAAACUUUUACGGUGAACGGCCUGUAACAUCCCAACAAUGCGGGGGUCUUUGCUGCGAAACUUUGUACUUAACUGUGUGAAACUUUUACGGUGAACGGCCUUUAACAUCCCUUCAAUCGGUAUUUAUGAAAUUUUUACGGUAAACUACCUGUAGGAAUAUGAGUGUCUUUGGUUGUUUAGCUUUCAAGUUAAAUUAAUUUUGUGAAAGUUGUGUUGACAGUGCUUUGCAGUCUUGGGUAAGGCAUGGAUCAGUGACAUGGAGUGAGAUGGAUCACCAACAUUCAAGAUGUCAGAACGUAAAGUGCCAAACUGUCACACGUAUGCUGAACCUGGAAGGCAUCUGAAGUAUCGGAAAACAACGUGCUGGAAGACACCUUGUCCGAUCCGCUUAAGACAUAGAUGGUAAGUUGUAUUGUUUUUAAGGGAUAAGAUAAUCAAAGUGUAGAUUUUGCUCAUAGCCGCCAAAGUAACCACAUAUUGCUAAUUUAUCUCUUAUAAUAGUCAACAGACAAUAGGCUGUUGAAUAAAGGUCCUAAACAAUGCGUUUGUUUUUAAUCUAGGUCGAAACGCUGGCGAGAACAUUUUUUUCGCCUAUAAUUGCCUUGCUGGCAUUUCAAAUGUUACUCUUUACUGCUGGCUGGCUACUUGGCUGAUUGUCAUUUUUUAGCUCGGUAUUCAAAAUUUUUAUUAUGUCUGGCUGGGAGUUUUAUGAAAUAAAGUCGAUCUUGCUAGCAGUGAAGAGCGGAUAUUUUUUUCCCAGGAAAGUUAAUUAUUAAUGGUAAUUGACGUGGGAGCACAGAAUCAGUGCUUGGGAAGUCACAGCUUAAAUUUCCAGUGUAAGUGUCAUUGGGUACUCCU
rnacentral:lncRNA from 1 species